UACGAAGGGGGCUAGCGUUGUUCGGAAUCACUGGGCGUAAAGCGCACGUAGGCGGAUUUGCCAGUCAGGGGUGAAAUCCCGGGGCUCAACCUCGGAACUGCCUUUGAUACAGCAAGUCUUGAGUUCGAGAGAGGUGGGUGGAAUUCCUAGUGUAGAGGUGAAAUUCGUAGAUAUUAGGAAGAACACCGGUGGCGAAGGCGGCCCACUGGCUCGACACUGACGCUGAGGUGCGAAAGCGUGGGGAGCAAACAGG
rnacentral:rRNA from 1 species